AAGUCGGUGGAGCAUGUGGUUUAAUUCGAAGCAACGCGAAGAACCUUACCAGGUCUUGACAUCCCGAUGCUAUUUCUAGAGAUAGAAAGUUACUUCGGUACAUCGGUGACAGGUGGUGCAUGGUUGUCGUCAGCUCGUGUCGUGAGAUGUUGGGUUAAGUCCCGCAACGAGCGCAACCCCUAUUGUUAGUUGCCAUCAUUCAGUUGGGCACUCUAGCGAGACUGCCGGUAAUAAACCGGAGGAAGGUGGGGAUGACGUCAAAUCAUCAUGCCCCUUAUGACCUGGGCUACACACGUGCUACAAUGGUUGGUACAACGAGUUGCGAGUCGGUGACGGCGAGCUAAUCUCUUAAAGCCAAUCUCAGUUCGGAUUGUAGGCUGCAACUCGCCUACAUGAAGUCGGAAUCGCUAGUAAUCGCGGAUCAGCACGCCGCGGUGAAUACGUUCCCGGGCCUU
rnacentral:rRNA from 1 species